rnacentral:rRNA from 1 species
UACGUAGGGGGCAAGCGUUGUCCGGAAUCAUUGGGCGUAAAGAGCGUGUAGGCGGCCCGAUAAGUCCGCUGUGAAAGUCCAGGGCUCAACCCUGGGAUGCCGGUGGAUACUGUCGGGCUCGAGUCCGGAAGAGGCGAGUGGAAUUCCUGGUGUAGCGGUGAAAUGCGCAGAUAUCAGGAGGAACACCAACGGCGAAGGCAGCUCGCUGGGACGUGACUGACGCUGAGACGCGAAAGCGUGGGGAGCAAACAGG